rnacentral:rRNA from 1 species
CGGCGCGGCUUCUAAUGCAGUCGAGCGACAGACGAGGAGCUUGCUCCUUUGACGUUAGCGGCGGACGGGUGAGUAACACGUGGGUAACCUACCUAUAAGACUGGGAUAACUUCGGGAAACCGGAGCUAAUACCGGAUAAUAUUUCGAACCGCAUGGAUCGAUAGAGAAAGAUGGUUUUGCUAUCACUUAUAGAUGGACCCGCGCCGUAUUAGCUAGUUGGUAAGGUAACGGCUUACCAAGGCGACGAUGCGUAGCCGACCUGAGAGGGUGAUCGGCCACACUGGAACUGAUACACGGUCCAGACUCCUACGGGAGGCAGCAGUAGGGAAUCUUCCGCAAUGGGCGAAAGCCUGACGGAGCAACGCCGCGUGAGUGAUGAAGGUCUUCGGAUCGUAAAACUCUGUUAUUAGGGAAGAACAUACGUGUAAGUAACUAUGCACGUCUUGACGGUACCUAAUCAGAAAGCCACGGCUAACUACGUGCCAGCAGCCGCGGUAAUACGUAGGUGGCAAGCGUUAUCCGGAAUUAUUGGGCGUAAAGCGCGCGUAGGCGGUUUUUUAAGUCUGAUGUGAAGCCCACGGCUCAUCCGUGGAGGGUCAUUGGAAACUGGAAAACUUGAGUGCAGAAGAGGAAAGUGGAAUUCCAUGUGUAGCGGUGAAAUGCGCAGAGAUAUGGAGGAACACCAGUGGCGAAGGCGACUUUCUGGUCUGUAACUGACGCUGAUGUGCGAAAGCGUGGGGAUCAAACAGGAUUAGAUACCCUGGUAGUCCACGCCGUAAACGAUGAGUGCUAAGUGUUGGGGGGUUUCCGCCCCUUAAUGCUGCAUCUAACGCAUUAAUCACUCCGCCUGGGGAGUACGACCGCAAGGUUGAAACUCAAAGGAAUUGACGGGGACCCGCACAAGCGGUGGAACAUGUGUUUUAAUUCUAAGCAACGCGAAAAACCUUACCAAAUCUUGACAUCCUUUGACAACUCUAGAGAUAGAGCCUUCCCCUUCAGAGGACAAAGUGACAGGUGGUGCAUGGUUGUCCUCAUCUCGUGUC